GACAGUUUAUCUUGAGGGUUUAAAACAUCCCUUGCAAACCUUUCCCUCCUCCCCUCUUCCUUGUUGACAAUCCACUUGAAACAAGACAGAUGUUGGGCCAGUUUUCUUUACGGUUGCUCUAAUUCCACAAGGUUUGCCUCUGGGAACAAGAACAGCAAAGAAAUGUUCUGAAAGGAAAAAAGAGUGACCUUUUCCGCAGAGGCAUUUUAAACCUGUGUGAUGCUCAUGUAGCCAACCAAGAAUAUAAUAAAGAGAAAAAAGAUAGUGUAACUAAGUCUGUGGAUGAGACAGAAGCCAGGGUAUCCACUUUGGCAGAUGAAGAAUCAGCAGAGUCAACACAUACCAAGAAGGUAAUGAACGGUCUUUCAAACUUCAUUUUUCACCCAGGGAGGAGAAGACAAGUCAUCCGAGUUAUGGUUGCUCAG